rnacentral:snRNA from 1 species
UGCAGCUUUCACAUCUCGA